GACGGAAGGUGCAAGCGUUGCUCGGAAUCACUGGGCGUAAAGGGUGCGUAGGCGGCCGUGCAAGUCUGGCGUGAAAGCCCCGGGCUCAGCCCGGGAAGUGCGCUCGAAACUGCGCGGCUCGAGUGCCGGAGGGGAGAGUGGAAUUCCUGGUGUAGCGGUGAAAUGCGUAGAUAUCAGGAGGAACACCAAUUGCGAAGGCAGCUCGCUGGGACGUUACUGACGCUGAGACGCGAAAGCGUGGGGAGCAAACAGG
rnacentral:rRNA from 1 species